UAAAAAUAAAAAUAAAAAAUAAUUUACAACUAAAAAACUUAUACAAGAUAAUUCAGUAACAUGGUUGGAUACAAAAUUAACCUAUUAAAUAUCUACACCUUCAGAUAUACAACAGCCAGUAGUAAGAAGAUAUAAAAAAUGGUUCAGUUACAAUAGCAACAACAACAAAAAAGAAGUGGGUGGAUAGAAAGUGAUAUAAGGAACAGAGAGAGAAAGAGCUGAAAGGAAGCACCCAGAUAGCCAUACAAUGCAGCCAAAUUAGCCCCAAAUGUGACUAGAGAGGACAGCAGAUAGGAGUCCACCCAGGGACCCCCCGAAAGCGAAGGACAGUUCCUGGUACAAGGCUGGCAGCCCGGAGCAUCUAACCUCAACAUCCAGCAACUUGGAGCCUCCUCCUUAGACAAAAAAAGCCCACAAUUCCAUCAAGAAUGUCAGUCAAAAUCCCAGGGAGGGAUCAGUCAGCUCAGCCCUCCUAUCCAGCCAGCUUUUGUGCCCUGGGAGCAGGCCCCUGGACUGUCCUCAGCCAAGACAGGAGAGGCCCAUCUCCCAAGGGCUAUGGCCUUGCUGCCCCUCAUCCCACACUCCUCUCCCACCUAAAGCUUCGGGCUGGUAGCCUGCAAGUGAGCAGGGGUUGAUGCAGUGGUGCACAGGCCCCCGCAGGAUAUGACCCAGGAUGUGAGGACCCGCAGGCUGGAGGAGAGAUAUGCAGAGGUGAAAGGGCAAACCUGUUUCCAGUCUCCUUAUCAGGAGUAGCCGAGUGAAAGGGAAGUGGCAGCCCCGGAGGUCAGGCUGGGGGGUUGUGGCUGGGGCAAGGCUAGGCUAGGUCUCCUGAGAGGAGACCCCGCUGGGCAGGGAAGAAAGAGAAAGGGGGUGUGGAGGAAGGGCCAGGGAGGGAAAGGGCUGGGAGCACUGACUGUAUGGCCCAUUCCCAAGGGGAGGAGCAGCAGGGUGACCAGCCACCCAGGCUUGCCCCAGACUGAGAAGCCUCCCAGGACACAGAAGUUCCCAUUAAAUACUGGGAUGGUUGGUCACCCAGGAAGCAGCCCUGGCUAGGGGACUGUCAGAACCCAGCCACCUGCACCCCCUCCAGAGUCCCAGGCUCAACCACCACCUUGUCUCAAUGCCUUCUUACUUCUCCCCCUUAGUUAUUCAUUCAGCAAACAUUAACAAAAUGCCUACUGUGUGUCAGGCCUGCUGCCAGGCUCUGGGAAUUCAGCAGUGAAACGACAGGCAUGCUCUCUGCUAUCCCAGAGCUUGGAGAUUAUGCUUCCUUCAAAGCCACAAGGGACACUUACUCCCCUGCUGCCUGCCCCACCAGCCCAUCCCCCGGGGCAUGUUUCUAGGGAGCCCUCCCUCAACAGUCUUAGGUGGUCCACACACAGAACUGCCUGCCAGAGUCAGAUGAGAGCACCCGUGUGGGGUCCACAGACACACGUGGGGAUGGUGUCUAAAUCACUGUCCCACCUGCCAUGGUGCCUUGCAUAGGGCCCUGUGCAGGGAGGUGCUUAAUACAUGUCUUUUGGUUGAGGAGCUAAGGUGUUGAGGGCCAGCUGGAGAUGGGGGUCCCUCGGUCACCUGUCAAUGCUCGCAGCCUCCCGCCACCACUGCCAGCACCCACCCAUAUGCGCAGGGCACGCCUCAUUGUCAAGCAGCAUUCUCCCUGCCCCAGCACAGUGGGGCUGACCUGUCCUCUCCUCAGCUGGGGAAAGUAGGCAGGCCUGUGGGCAGACCCCAGUCUAGCGUGGGGGUGGGGGUCCCCAGGAUGGAGGAGUGGGACAGGAGCUGGUUUGUCUUCCCUGAGCAGAGAGGCCUUGGCCUUGGGCUCCAGCAUCCUGUUCCCUCAGAGGUCCCACAUGAAGAGAAGCCACAAGAGUCAAUAUGCCUCAUGUGUGCCUGGGGGCUUCUUGCGGAGGCAGAGCCAAGCCUAGGCUCCUUCGGCCUCGGUCCUUGCCAGUGGAGAAGCCAGUGGGGACCCUGGGCAGAAGCUAAGUAGGUGAAACACACAGAGACGUGCUGUGGGGGCAAGGAAGUGGAGCAGUGCUGGAAGAGACUUGGGGUUCCAGCUACAACUCCAACAGACUCCUCUCCCCAGUUAAGGAGUAGGGGAUUGUAUCAUUGAAGCCACUGAGGGACCAUAAGCUUCUUGCAGGUGGGGGCCACAGGGCAGUGCUUACAGUAAGCUCUCCACCCUUUAUGUGGAAAAUAAGCCUGGCCCUCAGACAGCAGAGCCCCAUGUUUCUGUCCUGCACCCUGGUGGCGUUUUAUCAUAUUGCAACUCAUGGGAUAUUACAGAAGAGGGAGUAUGAGCUCAGCCCAGUGGACGCCCGUCUUUGGGGUCUGGCUUUGAGAUAUCAUUAGGAUGGGAUUCCUGAGUGUUCUGGGAAUAGCUGGAACCCAGCCACUCCCAACCAGCUGGGGCGUGGGAGAAAAGAGCAGGACUCGGGAAGACCAUGCCAGAGAAAAGGGUAGCAUGCGAUCCGGUACACUCUCUAUCCACAGGCCACAGACACACAGGAAAGGCACAGAAGACACCCUGGGACAGGGUAGGGGGACGUGGUGGAGGGCGGGAGGGGUAAAUGGAAACUCAGGUGUCCAGAAUUGGAUUAUGGC
rnacentral:lncRNA from 1 species